rnacentral:rRNA from 1 species
UACGUAGGGGGCAAGCGUUGUCCGGAAUCAUUGGGCGUAAAGAGCGUGUAGGCGGCUCGGUAAGUCCGCUGUGAAAGUCCAGGGCUCAACCCUGGAAUGCCGGUGGAAACUGUCGAGCUAGAGUCCGGAAGAGGCGAGUGGAAUUCCUGGUGUAGCGGUGAAAUGCGUAGAUAUCUGGAGGAACACCGGUGGCGAAGGCGGCAUCCUGGACCGGCAUUGACGCUGAGGCGCGAAAGCCAGGGGAGCAAACGGG